GAAUUCGCCCUUAGAGUUUGAUCCUGGCUCAGGACGAACGCUGGCGGCGCGCCUAACACAUGCAAGUCGAACGGAGCUUAGAGAGCUUGCUUUUUAAGCUUAGUGGCGAACGGGUGAGUAACGCGUGAGUAACCUGCCCUAGAGUGGGGGACAACAGUUGGAAACGACUGCUAAUACCGCAUAAGCCCACGGUACCGCAUGGUACUGAGGGAAAAGGAUUUAUUCGCUUUAGGAUGGACUCGCGUCCAAUUAGCUAGUUGGUGAGGUAACGGCCCACCAAGGCGACGAUUGGUAGCCGGACUGAGAGGUUGAACGGCCACAUUGGGACUGAGACACGGCCCAGACUCCUACGGGAGGCAGCAGUGGGGGAUAUUGCACAAUGGGGGAAACCCUGAUGCAGCGACGCCGCGUGGAGGAAGAAGGUUUUCGGAUUGUAAACUCCUGUCGUUAGGGACGAUAAUGACGGUACCUAACAAGAAAGCACCGGCUAACUACGUGCCAGCAGCCGCGGUAAAACGUAGGGUGCAAGCGUUGUCCGGAAUUACUGGGUGUAAAGGGAGCGCAGGCGGGAAGACAAGUUGGAAGUGAAAACCAUGGGCUCAACCCAUGAAUUGCUUUCAAAACUGUUUUUCUUGAGUAGUGCAGAGGUAGAUGGAAUUCCCGGUGUAGCGGUGGAAUGCGUAGAUAUCGGGAGGAACACCAGUGGCGAAGGCGGUCUACUGGGCACCAACUGACGCUGAGGCUCGAAAGCAUGGGUAGCAAACAGGAUUAGAUACCCUGGUAGUCCAUGCCGUAAACGAUGAUUACUAGGUGUUGGGGGAUUGACCCCCUCAGUGCCGCAGUUAACACAAUAAGUAAUCCACCUGGGGGAGUACGACCGCAAGGUUGAAACUCAAAGGAAUUGACGGGGGCCCGCACAAGCAGUGGAGUAUGUGGUUUAAUUCGAAGCAACGCGAAGAACCUUACCAGGUCUUGACAUCCGAUGCAUAGCACAGAGAUGUGUGAAAUCCUUCGGGACAUCGAGACAGGUGGUGCAUGGUUGUCGUCAGCUCGUGUCGUGAGAUGUUGGGUUAAGUCCCGCAACGAGCGCAACCCUUAUUGCCAGUUACUACGUUAAGAGGACUCUGGCGAGACUGCCGUUGACAAAACGGAGGAAGGUGGGGAUGACGUCAAAUCAUCAUGCCCUUUAUGACCUGGGCUACACACGUACUACAAUGGCGUUAAACAAAGAGAAGCAAGACCGCGAGGUGGAGCAAAACUCAAAAACAACGUCUCAGUUCAGAUUGCAGGCUGCAACUCGCCUGCAUGAAGUCGGAAUUGCUAGUAAUCGCGGAUCAGCAUGCCGCGGUGAAUAAAUUCCCGGGCCUUGCACACACCGCCCGUCA
rnacentral:rRNA from 1 species